UCCAGAAAAGCCAACCUCGAGUGUAGC
rnacentral:piRNA from 1 species